GCGAGUGAAGCGGCAACAGCUCAAAUUUGAAAGCUGGCUCCGGCCCGCAUUGUAAUUUGCAGAGGAUGCUUUUGGCGAGGUGCCUUCCGAGUUCCCUGGAACGGGACGCCAUAGAGGGUGAGAGCCCCGUAUGGAUGGACACCAAACCUGUGUAAAGCUCCUUCAACGAGUCGAGUAGUUUGGGAAUGCUGCUCUAAAUGGGAGGUAAAUCUCUUCUAAAGCUAAAUACCGGCCAGAGACCGAUAGCGCACAAGUAGAGUGAUCGAAAGAUGAAAAGCACCUUGAAAAGGGGGUUAAACAGUACGUGAAAUUGUUGAAAGGGAAGCGCUUGUGACCAGACUUGCGCCGGGCAGCUCAUCAGGGGUUCUCCCCUGUGCACUCUGCCCGGCUCAGGCCAGCAUCGGUUCUCGUGGGAGGAUAAGAACAGUGGGAACGUGGCCCCCUCUCGGGGGGGUGUUAUAGCCCAUUGUACGAUACUCUCGUGGGGACCGAGGUUCGCGCUCCGCAAGGAUGCUGGC
rnacentral:rRNA from 1 species